GCUUCACAAUGGCAGGGCUGGAACUUCCCCGCCGGCAAAGGGUGAAUUGCACACCUCUGUGCUUCUUUUAUGACUUUUCUGCAGAUAAUUCAUGUACUAGAAAGGAAGUGUGGGUGGCAGGCUGAAAUGCAGAUCUCUGCGCUGUAUAAACAUCAAGGUUGAAGAUUCACCUCGCUCUGAUUUUUUCGGAUGUUAGGAUCCUGCAAAGGUUGUAACUGCUUUGACCAGCCUCUCAUGGCACCUCCAGACAGGCAACCCACACUCCUUGCUUCAGGGGCUGCAGGCUCUCCAGGUUGGCUGCACAUCCAGCUCCACUCCUGCUGUUCCCCAUUGAAGGCAUCGAUUUGCCAUUUGACUUGACUUAGGGUCUCCUACUUAGCUUUGAGCUGCCACUCCAGAAGUUUCUCACAGGGCCUCCAUCAGCUGUAUGGAGAUGUCACAGCUACUCCAAGAGAUCUGACAUGGUGUCAGACACCUGUGGGCAGGCAACUGAAUUUUGCCUCAAGAAUUUACAUGGGAGCUAUGUGUCUAAGCUCUUGUUACAGUUAGUAGGGAUCUAGACUAGGAUCCAGAUCAGUGGAGCCUGCAGAGGGAUUUGGCUGACAAAGUUUAGAUGUUCACCUCAUGAAGAGCUGAAGACCUUGUGAGGCUCCAAUAAACCAAGAGCACAGUCUCCCACAGCUGCUGUGGCAGUGUAGGCAGUACCUCAGGUCCAGGCACUCAAAUUUAGGCAAGUUAAAUCCCAACCUUGGUGACUAAACGAAGAAUGAAAUAUAUAAAUAAGAAGACUAUGAAAGUGAUCAGGCUUUGUGCUAUCAUUUGUCACUUUCAUCUGGGUAAAGUAUAGAAAAACAUAAGCCUGGUGGAUGCGUAAGAUUCUCUGUCUCUCCACAUGCAAACACAUCCUCCUUUUCAUCAUAUCCCAUUAUGCUGUAUUACAUACACUCUCACAAAAUGUAUGCCUUGUCAAAUGGACCUACAGAUACUCCAGAUGAACAAGAAUGCAUUUGCUGUAUAAAAGAUGGUUUUUUUGCUACUGCAAAUGAGAAAUGUGGAUAUAUAAAUCUUAAUAUUUUGUCUAUGGUUUUCUGUGUUUUUGAUUCUAUCUCUACAGUGGGUAAAUGAAAUUAUUAGUAGUGUAUAAUAAUGAUUUUUUUUGCAGUCUUCUCUGCUCUGUUCUACAGUAUUGUUACAUCCUCGCCUGUUGCCAUAGAAAUGAUUGAUAUGUCCAAUCACAGCAUUCUUGCCAUACCCUCAUCUCUACAUAUUGUGUGCCUUGCUCUUUAAACCAGACUCUCACUUGGCUUUGUGAUAUUUCGGAUUAUGCUCUGUAGAAAGAAAAAAGAUUGAGAGGGGGGGGAGAACUUUGGCAUUCAGAAG
ensembl:lncRNA